AGUGAACGCUGGCGGCAGGCCUAACACAUGCAAGUCGAACGGCCGCACAGUAAGAGCUUGCUCUUACGGGUGGCGAGUGGCGGACGGGUGAGGAAUACAUCGGAAUCUACUUUUUCGUGGGGGAUAACGUAGGGAAACUUAUGCUAAUACCGCAUACGACCUACGGGUGAAAGCAGGGGAUCUUCGGACCUUGCGCGAUUGAAUGAGCCGAUGUCGGAUUAGCUAGUUGGCGGGGUAAAGGCCCACCAAGGCGACGAUCCGUAGCUGGUCUGAGAGGAUGAUCAGCCACACUGGAACUGAGACACGGUCCAGACUCCUACGGGAGGCAGCAGUGGGGAAUAUUGGGCAAUGGGCGCAAGCCUGAUCCAGCCAUACCGCGUGAGUGAAGAAGGCCUUCGGGUUGUAAAGCCCUUUUGUUGGGAAAGAAAAGCAGCAGGUUAAUACCCCGCUGUUCUGACGGUACCCAAAGAAUAAGCACCGGCUAACUUCGUG
rnacentral:rRNA from 1 species